UGUGGCCAGGGAGCCGCAGGCAAGGGACUAAGGGGAGGGGGGCUCAGUGCCAGCUGCUUAAAAAUGCCCCUGUGGCAGCGAGGGGCACCAGAGGCUGGGUCUAAUUAGUUGAGAAGCAGUGACACCCCCAACCACUCCCCAAACAGGCUGGCUCCCGUCUCCAGGCCCCAAGGAGCCACACCUGGACCAGACCCCAGGAAAGACAUGUGGUGGAAACCCUACGGCCCUGGAGCCCAAGGAGAGCAACGGCUGUAACAAGUGCACAGGUUUGAGUGCGCUGAGACAGGGGAACCGUGGGCAAAGAGGUCCCUCCAGAAAGAGCUGGGUGUGAGCAUGGGUUCGUGAGCUUGCCUGGAGCCCUGGCCUCAGCCCUCUCUCACUGAGGUGCCAUCUGGCUCGCAGAUGUGGCCCAUUCCCAGCCCCUCGUGUUUCUUGGAAAUGAGAAAGUCCAGGAAAGGGCACAGGGGCUUUCGCAACGACCGUGGCGAUGAUAGCUUUGACGUGUGGUCAUCCAGCCGGCCACUGCCCACACCCAAGAGAAAGCUGGAUUGAGCAUCAGGAGCCUGGGUUCAAGUCUGCCUCUCAAGCUGUUCCACAGGUGACCCUGGGCAAAUCGCACAGGCUCCUGGAACUUCAGAAAGGGGAAGAAUUAUUCCUGCCUCUGGCGACAUCAGCGAAUGUGCCUUGAGUUACGGGAGUGUUUUGAAGGCUGAAAGCUUUGUGUACACGGAAGGGGUCAAAGACAGCCACAAGCCUGUCCCUUUGGUCUUGGUCAUCAUGUUAACCCCAGGUUUCGAUUUAAUCCUACAUGCUCCUUUCUUAUGUGUGAGGCUGAGGUGGGGGCAUUGGUCAGAGGAGCCUCUGGGAAAUUUCCUUUCAGGACAGUUCUUUUGUUAAGGGGCCUGGGUGUGCUGAGAAGGGAAGGUGGCUCCUCCUGCUCUUGGAGCUUGGAGUUUCUCACAAGCUCUCCCUUAAAAGCCAGGCAGGCCAAGAAGGGAUAAUGGCUGCUCAGGGCCCAAGGGGCAGGAUCUCUGAGGCCCGGAAGAUCUCAGUAGGUUUAGCCCAAGAGUAUCCAGAAGUGGCCCAGGCCCAUUCUCCAUCCCUCAGAGCCUGGCAGCCUGGUCAGGACCCUCAAAGGCCAUGACCGUACCCGUAGGGCACCCUGGUGUCCUUCUGACAGGUGGGAUCUUUGUUUCUUACAGGCAAGGGCGCUAGCUGGUGGGAGCCACCCCGCCAUGCUGAUGUCAGAGAAGCAAGAACUCUGGAGAAGCAGCCUCCUGGGACCAGAGGAGGGCCAGCAGCAGGCAGCCCGGAGACAGAACUGUGAGCCCACCCCACCUCCACCCUUCCGGCACCCACAUCCGCUCCCCACCCCAGCCCACCUGCAGGUGGCUCCUGGAGUAUCCUGGGUCCCUCAGGAUAAACUCCCCACCCUAACCUCAGAAUGACCAAGAAACUGGGCCUGAGGAUGACAAGAAGCAGAAUGGGCCUUGGUAAAGGAAGACCCCCCACUGAUUGGUGGCAGUGCGGGCAGUUCAGGGCUGUCAGCGUCUGGGUUGUAGGUAAAAAGAAAUGGAACCCAAGAAGGGAAAUCCAACUAGGAGCCAAGAAUCCGGUCUACCCCAUCCUCCUUACGAAAUAGCAAUGCAAAGCCCGUGUGAUUUGGACAUAAAGCCUCUGUUACUCAACUUGAUUCGGUGAAUAACAGACUUGAAAGAAAUGUGGAAAAUAAUAGUAAUCUUCCCUAGAAAGGAGUAAACAGGGUUGAGCUCCCAAAGCAGGAAGACCUGGGGCUGUGUGAUCUUGGACGAGUCACUCAACCUCUCUGAGCCUAGUGAUAAAGAGCCAGCUCAUAGGGCUUUGAGAGGAUUUGUGAGGUUGGGCUGGUGUCCCCAGGCACAGCCCUUGGCACAUAGUGAAACUCAAGAAAACAGAGCAGUUUUUACCAUUCAUCACAUUAUUCCCACACUUGCCAAUUUUUUAAGUUCAUGCACAUGGUGGAACAGGUAGGGUGAGGUGCCAGCUCCAUAAGAUGAGUGGAGAAACUGAGGCCUGGAGAGGUGAAAGCAUUCACUCAGAGUUGCAUGUAGAGUCAGUUGCAAAGGAGAAUUCUGGCACCAGUUCUCAUGUGGAUGGAAAAAGUGCAGGAAGAUUUGGAGGUGAGCAGAGGAGAAGGGAGGAGGAGGCCGGGUUCCAGGAAAGGAGCUGACAUCCAGGGAUGUGGGACAAGGCCCAGGCCUGUCUUACAUAACAUGGUCCACCUGUUCACCCCUGCAGGCCCCACAAAUGUGUGCAAACGUGCACCCCGGCACAGCGCACACCCAGUCCUCCCUCACUGGCAAAUAAGCCACAGAGACUGGGUUUAAACAAAUUGGAUUAGGAGGGCUACAGGCGCCUCCUCCCCCCGACUGUCCGGCUCCGACACUAAACAGACCUGCAGAACUGCCAGCUGUGGUCUCUCGGACACACUGACAGUCGGUCCUUGGCUCCCUCACCCCACCCGUGGGCCUCAGGAAGGGGGUUGGGGUCUGAGAGGAUGCCACAGUGAUGGAUGGGGUGAGGGAGGUUCCAGGGCUAGCUCAACAGCGCACAGGAUGUUAGUGCUUUUGCGAGGCACAUUUCCGAGCUGUUCCCAGACCCGCCCCCACUUCCCCCCUCACCCUCCCCUCCGGCAGCCUCUCCCAUGGCCACUGCUGCGGGCUGUGAGCAGAGCCCCGUCCUUGAGCAGAUUGACCUCAUCUUUCAGUCCUGCAGCUGGGCUGAGCGGGGAGUCAGCUCAGAAGACACUGGCCUGGGGAUGAGACUCGGGGCAUGCUUCAGAGGGAAGAAAGAGCUUCUGAACAGACAAUGCUGUCUUAAAGGUGGCAUCUUGGUGCUUUCUCAUGCCUUGUUUUCUUUCAUCCUCAGAAUGUGUCUGGGGGUGAGAGGACGGGUGUGACUGCUGAAACUUCCUUUCUUGGUGAUUCCACAUCACUCCUUUCUGAUCCCUGAGCCUGUGCCACGCCCUGUGUGAUGUGCCGGGGACACCAGGGUGAAUACUUACAGGCCCUGUUCCCCUUCCUUCAUGAAACAGCCUCCUUCGGGCUGGGUCACUGGGCACUGGGGCCUCCCUGGUCUUCCAGGAUUGCAACUUCACAGAAUCCCUUUUCCAUAAGGCACAUGAAAGUGACUGUGACCCGCAACGGGAGCCUUGACAACCAGCCAAUUCAGAACACAGACCUUGACAUCGGAAGGCCCCGAGUUCAAAUCCUGCCUUGCUCCCUUUCAGCUGGAAAGCUGUGGUCAAAUUACUUAGCCUCUCCAAGCCAGUUUUCCCUUCUGCAAAAUGAGGUUACACAAGCUGCCACCUCACAGAAUGAGUGUGAGAAUUAAUUCUUAUUUUCCACACCCUCAUUUGACAGGGGGAGAAACAGAAGCCCAGAGAGGGAAAGGGCUUGGUUAGGAUCACACCAUGAGUUGGGGGUUAAGUCAGGAUGGGGUAGGUCCCCUCUUUCUCUGGGUGUUCCUCUCCCCCAUCCCUUAUCUCAACAUAAAUCCUCCCCAGUUGCCCAGGUUGUCCAGGCGAUUCCUGGCACACGUCCUGGGGCCUGCCCUCCACCUUUAGCCCUGCUCUGGCUUCUGCAGCAGCAGAGUCCUGGGUGACCAGCAGUGGCCCCUGGCCCUCUGAGUGGUGGUGGAGGGUGGGGGUGCACUGCAGCAAGCUCCCAGCCCAGAGCAGCCUGGCCAUAUAAGGGAAGGAGCUCAGGGAGGCCUCCUGGCUCAGGCCUGGCGAGAAAACCCAGACAGCCACUGUUUAUUUUCUCCUCCCCAGCUCACCCACGCCUCUCCAAGCCUCCCAACAGAAGACAGAGGUCCCCCACAGCCAGAGACAUUUCCUGAAGACAUGGGGAACACAGAGGCAGAAACAGCCCAUCCACCCAGGAGCUGUCCCCCACACUGCCGGGAGCCGGCACCCAGAGCCGCCAGGUAAAACUGAGGCCACCUGGUUCAACAUCACCUUUCACAGAAGGGGAAGCAGCCACAGAAAGAAGGGCCUCGUUAAGAAGUGGAACCUGGGACCCCCAAGCGGUGUCUCUCAUCCUGACUGGGGAUCCAGAGUAGGAGGGAGCCUUUGGUGGGGUAAGUGGAAUGGGGCGGGGUGGGGGGUGGCCAUAGACCCCUCUUCUCAGUAAGGCCCUCAUGUGAAGGAGGCAGGGGUUGGGACAAGUGCUAAGUAUGCAAGACUCAAGGGAAGAGCUGCUGGAGCCAGGAGAAGCACCUCCCUCCCGGCCCCUCUGCCCCUCCUCAUAGCCCAGCUGCACUGACUCCUCCUCCAGGAAGCCUUCUCAGCUUCCCCAGGGGUGGGAACCUUUUUGUCCUCCAGGUGUGCUUGGCUGUCCUUUCUUGGGCUCUCUCUCUCUCUCUCUCCUCAUCCCACUUGAGUCUGCCCCCUAUUCACCUUGUGAGGGGAAUUUUCCUUCUACUCAAUCUGACCGAGGUCCUCCAGGUCAAGGACAGCGAGGCUCUCAGUCCCACUUCCCCUUGGCACAUAGAAGAGGCAGUGCGCUGAAGGGACAGGUGAAAUGAUUAGACCCUGCCCCCAAACCAAGGCCUGGCCAAUUGGACAGGGCAUGAGACAUUCAGCGUAGAGGUUAAAACGAGGGCCCUGGGUUAGGAACCCCAGCUCAGUUCUCAGCUCUGUACCCUUGGAAAAUUCCCUUCCCAUGGAGCUUUGUGGAUGCACAAGGACUUGCACAAAGAAAACAUUCAAUAUCCAGGACUAUAAAAUUCCACAAAUGAUUGUGCUUAUUACAUUCAUUAUCACGAUGAUUAUUCCAGACACAAAGGAACAGAACGAGGCACCAACAGCAAGGGGCAAGCAGAUUCAAGGGCCACAGAGGAGAUGGAGGCAAACACCUUCCCCUGGUCAGAGGCUGUGCCUCAGCCCUUCUCCCUGCAUCAGUUUCUCCUUCAGAAGCAUGGGACUACCUCCCAUCUAGUUCUCGUUUCUAAACCUAGGGGAGAUGCUAUCUUUGCUGCAAUAAUCUUAGCCUACAUCUUGGAAUGGAAAUGGCCUUGGUGGAAAUGGUCUUCAACUCCUCUGGUCCAAGCUCAGGCCCUGUGACCCUGGAACAAUCCCCUUCCUGGUCCUCCAUGUAGGAGCAAUAACAUUCCCUUGCCAGCAGCACCAGCCAUUCUGAUGAUUAAAUGGUAUCGGACUCUGUUUUCCAAACUCAGUCAUUCAGAUGCCCCCUAUUUUAUUUCUUCCAUGUCUGCAAAUGAUUAUAAUAUUUUUAAAUGUAGGAUGAGUCCUUUUUAUUACACAUAGAAAUAGCUACUGUAAAUAGCAAACUCUAACACUGUGCCUAAUUAGGAAAUAAAGGUAACCAUAAAUACAGUAAAAAUGAAACAAUGUUAUUAUGGUUUAACCUGAUAGUGUGGCUUGCAAGGCCCUGGGCCUGAAGCCUGGGCAAUAAGUGAGAGUUAGAAAGGUGUCAAAGACAUGAUAGCAGCAAACUGAGGCUUUGUACCCCACGGUAAAUAGGACUGAAAGCAAAUUCACAGGGAGCAACUGAUCCAUUCCACAACAGAAUGCUCCCUGUCAAUUCGCUUUCCAUUCUGUUGUGUCCUGUCUCCCAGCAGAGACUACAAACUCCCCAAAACCACUUACCCACCAGCUGCACGUGAGAAGCCAAAGGUAGUUUAUGUGAAAGGGCUUUGGAAAUAAUCACGCACCAAGUGAAGGCAGAGGACACACCUUGUCAGCUUAGUUCUCAGCAGCAAAUCAUCUCUUUUCCAGGAUAACCCUCCCUGAUUCUUAUUGAAAUCUCUUUGCUGACCACACUAAGCUCUUCUCUCUCAGGGGCAGUGGGAGCCGUGGAGAGUGGAAUAGACCAGCUGUCUGUGACCUGCGAGGGAGUCCAAUGUCGGAAUCACUCCCCAGCCAAAUGCACGGUUUUAAAAAAUCUAUUUAUUUAUUUAUGUAGAGACCAGGCUAUGAGACUGGCUAAUUUUUCGUAUUUUUGGAUAGAGACAGGAUUUCAUCGUGUUGCCCAGGCUGGUCUUGAACUCCUGGGCUCAAGCGAUCCACCUGCCUCGGCUUCCCAAAGUGCUCAGGAUUACAGGCGUGAGCCACUGUGCCCAGCCACCAAAUGCAGUUGAAAAGAGUUUCUGCAAGAUAAUUCCACAGAAGAGGAAAGCAGUUAUCUGGCUGGGAAUACCUUAGACAGAGGCUGUCCUCUACACAGGCUGUCAGAACUGACCUACUGACCUGCCUGCUGGCAUGAUAGACCAGAGGGAAACACUCUUUCCACUCUUCCCAGACUGAGUGUAAGAGACAGACUUUUUUUUUUUUUUUUGAGACGGAGUCUCACUCUGUCACCCAGGCUGGAGUGCAAUGGCAAGAUCUCGGCUCACUGCAACCUCCACCUCCCCGGGUUCAAACCAUUCUCCUGCCUCAGCCUCCCAGGUAGCUGGGAUUACAGGCUCCCGCCACCACGCCUGGCUAAUUUUUGUAUUUUUAGUAGAGACAGGGUUUCACCAUGUUGGCCGGGCUGGUCUCGAACUCCCAACCUCAGGUGAUCCGCCUACCUUGGCCUCCCAAAGGGUUGGGAUUACAGGUGUAAGCCACUGCUCCCAGCCUUUUUUUUUUUUUUUAUUAGAGACAAGGGCUCCCCAUGUUGCCCAGGCUGAUCUUGAACUCUAGGCUCAAGCGAUCCUCCUGCCUGAGCCUCCCAAAGUGCUAGGAUUACAGGCAUGAGCACUGCUCCCAGCUCUGUUUUUGUUUUUUUAAGGAGGUAUAUUUUUUCUGUUCUCUCUCAGCCCUGAAGAAAGGCUACCCAUCCCCUUCAGACAUUCCUGAAAAUAUAUGUCAUCCAACAUCAAGGCCACCACAGUGACCACUAAGCAAUGCAAGAAGGUCCUCUGGGGUGCCCUGAGAUCUUGGCAGGGCAGGAAGAGUGAGAAGGGGCUUUGCCUGCUCACCUGAAAGUUCCCACCCAAGCCGGGCCCAGAAAACAAAAUGAAUUAUCUACAUGGUCAUCCAAUCAGCCACCAAAUGGCAUUACCUAGGUCCAUCAUCAUGUACCAAGCCACAGGUCAGACCCAGGGCCCCCCAAAUUAACAAGACACAGGCACUGUCCUCAGGAAGUGGAGAUCUAGCCAGGUCAGACCCACACACAAAUAACACUGAUACUAGAGAUAAUGAGAUUGGGAAUUAUGAUUCAGCCAUUCAACCUGGGCUUAUGUGGCAUCUACACCACCUGGCCCUGAUUUCAGUAGUGAGCACAGUUGACAGGGUCCCUUCCCUUCACAGGUGAGCCAUGUAGUCCACAAGUGGAGGUGGUCGUAAGUGAAAACCACAUUACCAGCAUGGUAAAGGGUUAGAAAGAGGGCACCGGGUGGGCGAGAACAUGAAGCAGGGGGUGCUGAUGGCUAAAGAAGUAAAGGAGGGGCUGGGCACUGUGGUUCAUGCCUAUAAUCCCAGCACUUUGGGAGACCAAGGCGGGUGGAUCACCUGAGGUCAGGAGUUCUAGACCAGCCUGGGCAACGUGGUGAAACCCUGUCUCUACUAAAAAUACAAAAAUUAGCCAGGCAUGGUGGUGCACGCCUGUAGUCCCAGCUACUUGGGAGGCUGGGGCAUGAGAAUUGCUUUAACCCGGAAGGUGGAGUUUGCAGUGAGCCGAGAUCGUGUCACUGCACUCCAGCCUGGGCGACAGAGGGAGACUCUGUCUCAAAAAAAAAAAAAAGUCAAGGAGGGUUUCCCAGAGUGGCCACUUGAUUAGAGACCUAGCACAGGAGGAAGAGAUGGGCAGGGAGAGUGACGGGGAGCAGCACAGUCCCUGGGAGCCCGAAGUGGGUGGGCACAGGGCUCCCUAGGAGAAUGGAAGGACAUCUAUGAGCUGUAGCCCAAGAGGAAGAGGUCACUGGGGCUAGAUGCGGCAGACCCUCGCAGGCUUUGGGAAGGGCUUCAGAAUUCAGCCUGAGGGCAAUGGGGAGCCCUUUUGGGAUAUUAAACUUGAGUAAGAUAUGAGCAUAUUUGCAUCUUGAAAAAUCAUUAUGGGAAGAUGGCUGGGAAGAGAGGAGGAGUGGCAGAAGAAAGAUAGGUUGGAGACAAUUGAUUGCUCGAUGAUAUAAAAUGUUAAGUACCAUGAAUGAUGCUGUUAGGCUGGAAUGCGCCAAGCAUAAAGGUGGGGCAUGGCAUCAAAAGGUAGGUCAACAUAUUAAAUAAUUCCAUGUAUUGAAAUAUCCAGAAAAUAUAUAGACAGAUCUAUAGAGAUAGAAACUGGUCUGCCCAGGACUAGGGGUUGUCUAAGGAUAAGGAGCUUCUUUUUUGGAUGGUGAAAUAACCUAAAAUAUAUUGUGCCAUUGUUUGCACAACUUUGUGAAUAUAUUAAAAACCUGUUAAUUGUACUCAC
rnacentral:lncRNA from 1 species